GGAGGGCGGCGUGCUGCAGGAGACGGGGGAGUGUCUGGAGCAGGCUCCCGCCCGGGCUCCACAUGCCUCGGCCGGCGCGGGCCCUCAGCCGGCCAGCCCCUCCGCCGCGGCGCCUAUCAGGCAGCGUCCCUUCAUGGCGCCCGGUACAAGUAGGAUUACAUUUCCUGGCUUCCUUGUAGUUGGGAUGAGCCAUAUUACACAUUCUGCCAUGAAUUGUGAGCAUAACAUUUGAUUGCUGAUGCAAGACCUUCCAGAACUCUUUUUCCUCUUUGCCAUGGCAAUCAACAAUGUUCCAGAGAGUAUAUGCUCUGUAAGUCUUCGUCUUAGAGGGAGGAUGAUCCAGAAAAGAGUCCCAUUCACCUCAUCAUGGAUAUUUAAAGAACACACACAGCAGGCAUCCUUCAGUGACGACUCCUGCAGCCACAGGAAAUGGAAGUGCCAGUGACGCAUCAAAUCGUGGACUCCGAACAGUGCUCUUCUUCAAGAAGCUCUCCAGCUAGCAAGGCGAAUACUUCGAGCACUACUUUUUGGAGCACUUCACAGAAGACAAGUGCCUUCUUUUUUUUCCAGGCUUGCUUAAGAUAUAUAAUUUAAAUGAGUGUCUGGACCCUGUGUGAAGUUCUAUUUCAGUGUUAGCAACUAAUUGUUUCUGAAUGAUGUAUAUUCAACUUAUUUGUUCAGCAGAAGCAUAGUGGGGAUAUAUACUUUGCUAGCUGCCUUGAGAAUAUAAAGAUGAAGGAAAUUCAUUUCCUGCCUUCAGAAGUACAGUCUAAUUGUGAAGAAGGGAACAUUAACUCAAUUACAAUCAUGGAUAAUGGGUGCAUCAGACUGGUGUCAAGAGGUUUGGGAUGGCAAGGGCAAGGCUGAUGAUUCCUGAUGGCUGGCCAUUUCCAACAAGUGUUCUUUAUUCUGUUCCUGGGUUUCCUUAAUUCCAGGAGCUAGUUGUGAAUAUAACCAGUCUUCCUGUAUAACUCCCUCUUGUCUGUAAUUACAGUGGUGAUGGGAAAUGCUAUAAUCUUUACCAGCCUUGAUCUGCCAUCAUUUUGCUCACACACCUGUGCAUCCUUUACCAAAUGUACAUUUUCCUGAGGAGUAUGUCUCCAGCCUCCCUCUCCUCUUAUAAUGCUCUUCAAUACAUAUUUGACCCAGAAGAAGUGAGCCUUGAUGGAGGUGACAGGUAAAAAUGAGUGGAAAAGGGGGAAGCACCCACUCAUAUCAGCUAAGUAACUGUUUAGCUAAUUCCCACUCACAGUAAGAAAAUGGGAAAUUAUAGGCUGAUGCUACAGUUAUAAUUUCCAGUCCAGAAUAGUCAGAAGAUUUGGUGUUUCUAAUUUCAAGUAUUUUUAAUUCUGUGAAAACAGUGUAUCGAGGUUCAAUUAGAAAACUAUUGUUCAUUCAUGAUAGUGGGGGAAAAUGCCAAGCCUCACAGUUAUAAUUCUUUUACUGUACAAGUAGAUGUGCACACAAAGUAUGGCUCAGUCUAGCCACUACGUUAAUUAACACCGUAUCGGAUAUUAGGGAGACAAAGGAGUAUAAAAUAUUAUGUUUAAAGUUUUGUUUAGAAAGUAAAGAAAAGGAAAAUUCAGAAUACCCUAUUGCCAAUGAGCCUUGUUUCCCAGUAUAGAAAAUAUGAUCAGAGACUGAUAUUAUUUCUGUAGACUAAAUCUAUUAUUUUUAGGCACACAUACACAGAAUUUUAUGAUUUCCAACAUUUAUUAAAUACUUGCGGGUUUUCAACUGUUCUCAUAAGUGAAGAUUUAUGAAGAAACUAUGAUUAGAGAAUAUUUUUAAAAUUUGGAUUUGUAUCAAGAUCACUUGUUUCAUCUAUUAAGUAUGAGUUCAGGAGGAAAGGCAUACUCUGCUGACCUCCAGGCAUAAAGUGACCCAGCUGGCUGAUUUUCUUUUGCCUCAUCUCUUCAUGUCAUUCUCUCUCAAAUCUGUCCUCCUAUUUGAAGAGGAAGAAGAGAGCCAUCUCCCUUGGAAGAGGAGGAUUCAUCUUCAGUUAAAAGAAAGGAAUUAAAAAAAAAAAAAAAAGAAGGCAUAGACAGGCUCGUUUGUUAAACCACCAAAUAAGGUCUUAUUCAGUAAUUACUUAUUGGGAACAUCUCUGAUUCCGGAUUUUAAAGGACACGCUGAGGGUGAGACUCCGCCGUCACAGAUCCGUCUUGCAGUGUGAGAAGCAUAAGCAACGGUAGCAUGGAGUGUUAGGUACAAGGGCAGCACAGAGGAAGGAGUGACUAAAUCUGUCUGGGUAUCAGAGAGAGUUUUGCAGCAAAGGUGAUAUUUGAGCUGGAUGUUGAAGGAUGAGUAUACAUUUAUUUAUAUCCUGCUUAUUCCAAAAGGAUUUAAGGGGUCUUAUAGGAGUUGACCAGAUAGUGGAGGAGUGGACUAGCAUUUCAGACACAGGAAGUGCCAAAGCACAGAAGUGUGAAAGGGCACGAUAUGCUUGGGAAGUCGUGGGAAGAUCUGAGGGCAGAUGAUGCAUGGAGUACACAUGUGAGCUGGGGGAAGGGAGACAGCAUAACCAUUGUGUCAGCCUCUAGCAGUGGUUUGCAAACUUGCGCAUGAAUCUGAACCCCCUGAAGGCUUUUAAAAGCACAGAUCCCUGGGCCCCAUCCCCAGAGGUUUUGAGUCUGCAGAUUUGGGGUGAAAGGGCAAGAAUUUACAUUUUUUACAAAUUUCCUAGUGAUGUUGAUGCAGCUGGUCCUGGGACCGCACUUUCAGAACCACUUCUUUAGACUUUGGAUUUUAUCCUAUAGUCAGUUGAGAGUACCUGGAAUUUGUGUAGCUUAAGAAAGAAAGAAAAUCAGAUUUGGAUUUAGAAAGUUUACUGGCACCUGUGAGGGGAAUGAGAGAGGGAAACCACUUGGCAGAUUAUUUCACAUGUCCAAAAGACAAAGUAAAUGGACCUCGACCAAUUUAUGGAAAGAUGAAAUACACUUGAGAAUGUCUAGAGGCAUAAUCAAGAUUACUAGGAAUGUUUGAGUAUGGAGAAUGAGGGAAAGGGAAGGAAUCUCAGAAUGUUGAUUGUGUUCCAUAAUGUAACUGAAAUACUGUAAAAUUUAUGUAUUCAAAGAAUCUCAUGUUACCAAAAUCUUUAAAAUGGGGUCUAACAAAUCAUACAAACUUCAGAUGACUUUCUUGCAGUGUCAUGUGUGAUGCGUUUAUAGUUAGGGCUUGGUCAUGGUCAUUCAACAGUCAGUCAUUCCUCAAAAUGUGUGACAUAAAGUCCACUGAGGUAUGGUCAGGCCUUCCUAAGGCAGCAUCACCUAGGUCUAGGGGUGCUGUUUACCCACUGUGCCCACUCAGAACAUCAGAACUUUGGCUACAAGGAUCAGGUGUGGUCUUGCCAGCCUCGAUAUACUCUUAGUAACUAUAUGAGUUUCCCCCCAAUACAUAGGACUUUUUAGAUACAACAUGAAGGAUAAAUUGCAACUGGCUGAAGCCAUAAAAUAGAGUAUAGAUGAGUAACUUGAUCCGAAAUUGAACCCAUAAUAACGUUCAGUGAAGUUUUGAUUUUAGCUUCAAAUUUGUCUUUGCAACUGAGUCCUUAGCCAAGUGUGCCUGUUGUUCUGUUCUGUUCUCUUUUUGUUAUUGUUCUUAAGGUGCCAGGUUCUGCUGACCCUGUUCUUGUGUUCUGUGCUGCUCUUUCCUCUUACAAGGCUGUUGAAAUGGUCAGUUCCUUGUUCAAACCCUUUUUUAUCUCUUUGCAGUUUCUGAAUGUUUCCAUCAGUGUAAUCUCUGCCAGUGGCAUUUCUAAGGAGGUUGCUUUGUUCAGUUCUCACUGCUAAAUACUUACAACUCAUUAGCUUCUCUUUGUUUUUUUGCAGCCCAUUAACCCAAUAUGUCUUUUGCAUUGGACUCCAGCCUCUGUGUGCUGCCCUUGCUAGUGAUGAGGUAUCAACUUUGUUCUACAAAUGGAAAUAGGUAAGAGGAGAUUGCGGUGGGGUCUCUAUCACCCAUGCUCAAGUGAAACAUAGCUGGGCCCGAAGUUGUCUGCCAUGAUCAGAUGGAGAAGCUGGAGUGUCCCGUCGGAGAAAUCCCUACCAAGGAAUCUUUGCCUCCGCAUGCUUGCAGGGCAAGAGUAGCUCUGUAGAGCUCUUCUCACCAAGCCAUGAAGCAUUCAGAGUUGUUCAGCAAGCAGAAGAAUAUACCAGUCAGGACACAGAAGAGAAAUACAGCCUGGAGAUACAACAUUUAGGCGCCACCAGCAUUUUAAUGGUGAGUAAUGCCGUGGAAGUGUGUGCGAUCAUCUAGGAAAAGGGAGUAGAACCAUCUUUAUCAGCUGUCUAAAAUCCUGAAUAGGCACAACACCUUCCCCUCAUCCUCACUGAGAUCAUAGCCUCAAUAUCUGCAUU